AUAUUGAAAGCAGCGAAUGGACAGUUCACAGCGAAUGGACAGUCCAAUGUUCACGGUAGCUGACUUCACAAUGAAUAUAUACGGUCAGGUUUCCAGAGCUUAUGCGUGGACAGUGUGACGCAAACCCCGACAGAUAAUUGGAAGCACUUCUAGCAGCAAACUUUCCCUAUAGCAAACUGGAGGCGCUCAUCAAAAUAGAUCUCCAUCGUCUGUGAUGUUAAGGGUAUGGCUGUGUAUCCGAGGAGACGAUUGGGGGUAGACCCAAGACGAUUGGAUGAAGAUUGUAGUUAGUGACGUCACACCAUGCCCAUAAAUUCCUCGCGAGAGAUAACGCCGUCAUCAUUGGCAUCAAGACGACUAAACAUAGCUUCGAUUUGGUCGUCGUCAAGGUUUUCCUCCUUCAGCAUCUGACAGAUCAAACCUUUGGGUAGUUUCCCACAACCUUCCUUGUCAAGUGCUUUAAACUGCUCUGAAAACGCUGUCCUGGAACA